AUAAAUGAGGAAGUACAGUUUUUUUCUAUUUCCGACAGUACUUAUAGUGAAGAUAUCAACUAUAAUCUUGAUCCUGGAAGCAUAUUUGUUUGCAAUGUUUGUAUUGCCUUCUGAGUUAAACUCGUCACGGUAUGGCUGAGAUAUUGCCGAUGUGACGUUAAAUAUUAACUCACUCACUGUGAGUUAAACUUUGCGAAAAACCCUGAUGUGCAGUGAUUUAUAUGGUACGAACACCGAUCACCCAAGCUGGUGUAAUCCAUGUGAAACCUUGAAGGCGGGUGCACACCCAGCUUACUCUGUAUCCAGUCACUGUCACCAGACAUAGUUUUCUGUGAAAAGGAAGGCACUUUCGGUUUGGGGAUUUCCCAGAAUUACGCCGCCAUCUUGGACACAGUUUUCACUGAGGCGAUGUUAACGCUUGAUCCAGUUAUGAACUCUACACCUGUACGUCUGUAGGAAUAGCCUGAUCAGGAGUAGACAUUUGCCUCAAAGUCAACAGCAAAUAUCUAUUCAACUUGACGAGGGGACUUGUCCGUAACCAUGGUAAUGGCUGCUGGACCAGGCUGGCCCAAGAUGCAGAAUUGGCACAAACAUUGGUUUCUAGGAUUGGUUUCCAACAACAAAAUCUGACAUUACCGUUGGCACCUGGCUUCAAAGCAAGUACAGUGAUGUCAGGUCCAUAGAAGUCCAUCGUGACAUGUGUUGCCAUGCUGUUAGCUCACAGUGAUUAUCCAGGGAUUCAUCGUCAGGCUGAAUCCACCACAAGAAUUGGUUCAGAGAGUUAGAACAGUUUGAACAGCUGAGAGGAAACUUUGCCAGGUAAUGGAGGAAUUCAAUGCCAGUAGCUCUUUGGAAGAGGAGGUUGGCAAUGAUGGAGGAGUAUAUAAUCAGGAUGAGACAGUGCCACCUGGCGAUGACAUUGGUGACAGUAACAAUGAGGUGGUACCACCUGGUGAAGAAGAGAAUCAGGGUCUGCACACUAGUCCACCUUCUCUGUCAGAGGAACUGUCUACUCCAUCCAUUCCAUCCAUGGAAUCAGAACUAGCUCCAAGCCACCAGCAACUCCAUGUAACAGAAUCCAAUAGUUCAUCAAUCUAUAUGAGAAGCCUCAUUGAGCAAGAAGGUAGGAAUGCAUCUGACAAUGUGACAAUAUCAACAUCAGAAGGUCAACAAGAAGCACCAGAAUCUCAGGAUUCCCCCGAAGAGGAUGCAGAACAGCUGCAGGGGCAACAACCAUUGAAUUUACAGUCAGCACACAGGGGUGAAAUAUCACUUCAUGCAGAACAAAAUAUUUAUAAUGAAUAUCAUAACAUGAGGCUUAUAAUGGAAUCUGGGUUUGGACAGUCAAGUCCUGUUGGACAAGUUCCUCCUGCUGCAGGCUGGCAUCUUUCAGAGAGAAACUUCAACAUGGAACAGAUUGUCAGAAUAUGGGAAAGGACUGAUCUGUAUAGUCAAAACCAACUACUAAAUAGCUUUUUGGAGUACUCCUUGUACAGACCAAACAUAGUCCAGAGAGGUGGACAUCUAGCAUUGUUAAACAUGCUGAAUGCCAUUACUGGUGAAAAUAGUGGGGACACACAUGCACUUCGGGAUGCAGUACAUGGUGUUCUACUGAAUAAUCAGGAUUUCCUGGUACCGUCAAACGGUCACUUCAGGUUGGGUCAUGAAUACUCCUCAGUAAAGUGCUGUAACCAAAGGACACUCAGGUGCUCUCUACCAAACAGGGAUUUUGACUUCAUCAGAAAAACGUACUGCGUCCGUGAUUGGUGUGGCGAGCAGAUGAUAGUUCCCUUCCUGUGUGGCAGCAAGCAGUAUCGUCCAGCCUUUGGGACUGACCUGGGCGGGGGAGGUCCAGGUGUUCCUGCCAGUCAUCCAAGGGGAAAGUCUGGCUGAUGUGUUGAGGAAGUGUGGUCGAGGUUUGACACAACAUGAGGUGAUACUUCUCACAUAUCAGCUACUGCAGAUUGUGUCCGAUCUUCAAAGAUACAAAUGUCUUCAUCGAAAUAUCACUCGUUAGUCCCGACGUUAUAACUAAAGGACAUACGAAUGACGGCCAGGCAUCAUCUGUGUCAUGGCGUCUUUCGUGGGUGAAUGAUAGUGUUCUAUUCCCAGAGGGUGUUUCACGUGUGUUACCUAAUCGUAUUAAGUUGCUAUUUUGCCAUCACGUUAUUGAAUGUUGGUUGCAUUUUUUUAUAAUCCUACCACUGUCAUUGCGUUUUCAUCAUAUUUUAGAAGGGGGGGUACGUGUAGAACUCUUUCCGGUCCGGACUGUCUGAAAGCAUCGAUUUUACUACCUUCGUCUCCCUUACGACCGUUCAUGGGGUCACCGGUCUUUUUACCUCCACCAUUCCAUCAACGGUAGAUUGACGAUCCCCAUGCAUCUCAUUUACUAAAUUUCUUACUCCAUCUGGUGGAGUACCAUACGUUCCUGCGAUCCAGGAUUGUAUUCUUCAUCACUCUAUGUACUAUGUGAACGUUCCUGUAGAUUGACUCACAAUCUCCAUGCCUCGAACCUACUACAUUGAGCACUUCUUUAGUACUGUCAUGGUAGCUCGGCUAAUUGAACACUUCCUGAGUGGCAAUAGUUGCUAGGCCUUUUGACGUCAGCUCAAGUCCUAACGUACAGAGGCCAUCUCCAGCUUCGGCUGAUACAGCGAUUUCUACGCCCGUAUCUCGAGGCCAACAACCGAGCCCCAAGGAAUUGAUUUGCCAUCCAGAACUGCUUCGUCCAGCCCUUCAGCGGUGGCUUGAUGAACGGAAGGUCUGCGCUGGAGUCUCUAUGGUUCUCCUAGCGCACUCGCAAACGCAGGACUCUUCGUCAGUGGCAAGAACUUCUGGGUCUGCUGACGUCAGCUCAAGCUUUGACUCUCAGGGGACAGAUUCAACUACGACCUCUCCAAUAUUUUCUGUGUCAGCACAUCAGGAUUGGUGACCAUCACGCAUUGAUCUCUCUUCCUCCGGUGCUCCAUCCCCAUCUCCAAUAGUGGUUGGAGGAGUUGAAUGUUUGCGGCAGAGUCUCUUUAAGGCUGUUACAUCCAGUACAUCACCUGUACGUAGACCCCUCUACACAUUGGGGGAGCUAAUCUACUCGGUCAUCAAGUGGCUGUGCUGUGGUGCAACAUCACCACAAUUUUGGGCCCUGACGACACUGACGAUCUCUCCCUCUGUUCUGUCCGGACUAUAUGGGUCUAUCUAGCUGCUUCCAAGGACUGUCAUAGGCUACAUAAGAGACUAUGUAUUCCUCUGUCUGCCUCAUCUGCAGAGGUCUCUCGUACCACCUUGGCAUUCUAGAUGAGGUCUACUGUCCUUCGUGCCUAAGCUGACCUCCCUUGGCCUACUACGGCCAACCCUCAGUGUUUUACUUAAGUCAGAGGUGGUCGACACUCCACUUGUUGACCUCUACUCUCUGAGCAAUUACGUCAGCGAAGUGCUGAUUUUCCGAUUACCUAUACGGUUUUCGAAGCAUUCCACUCCUAAGACCUUUUUUACCUUUGGUAAGAUGGUGAAGUAGGGGGAGAGGUCGGACGGGAGAGAUUUUAUUCAACUUAGCCUGCAGCAUGUUUCCAUGACUUGGUCGAAGAAGAGCGAGAAGUACACACCGUGAGAUAGGAUAAGUAUAUAAAUAUACAAUUUAUAGUUAAAAUUUCCAAUUUUAUAUCACGAUACGGCUGAUAUGUUGCCGAUGUGACUUUAAAUCUUAACUCACUAAUAUUAUGUUGACAGACUAAGGAUUAUAACCUAACUGGAAAAAAGCUGUGAAAAGUUAUUUGUUGCUUGAUGAUGACAUCUAUUAUAAGAAUUUUUUCAUGUGUAUAUAUCAAAGGAUUUUUCUUGUUUUCGCAAGGAAUAUAAGGAACAAUAAAUUAACUGCUAACUUGUUAUUGUAUACGUUAACCAAUUUUCAUGAUAUAACCUCAUCAUUGAUUUGUUGCAACCAGUAUAUCUAAUCUUGUUUAUGUCGUUGUGUUGCAGCGGACAAUGUCAUCAUAUCCUACGUAAACCAGUGCCUUUACCUUGUGGGAAAUGGAGCCUUGUGUCGGCUACAGAAUGCGUUGCCAACGAUACCAUCAGACCUCAG